rnacentral:rRNA from 1 species
AUUGAACGCUGGCGGCAUGCCUUACACAUGCAAGUCGAACGGCAGCGGACCUUCGGGUGCCGGCGAGUGGCGAACGGGUGAGUAAUAUAUCGGAACGUACCUUUCAGUGGGGGAUAACGUAGCGAAAGUUACGCUAAUACCGCAUAUUCUGUGAGCAGGAAAGCAGGGGAUCGCAAGACCUUGCGCUGAUUGAGCGGCCGAUAUCAGAUUAGCUAGUUGGUGAGGUAAAGGCUCACCAAGGCGACGAUCUGUAGCGGGUCUGAGAGGAUGAUCCGCCACACUGGAACUGAGACACGGUCCAGACUCCUACGGGAGGCAGCAGUGGGGAAUUUUGGACAAUGGGCGCAAGCCUGAUCCAGCCAUGCCGCGUGAGUGAAGAAGGCCUUGGUUGUAAAGCUCUUCGGUCCGGGAAGGAAAUACGCACAGGUUAAGU